rnacentral:rRNA from 1 species
CGGGUUGUCAUGCCAAUGGCACUGCCCGGUAGCUAAAUGCGGAAGAGAUAAGUGCUGAAAGCAUCUAAGCACGAAACUUGCCCCGAGAUGAGUUCUCCCUGAGACUUUAGAUCUCCUGAAGGAACGUUGAAGACGACGACGUUGAUAGGCCGGGUGUGUAAGCGCAGCGAUGCGUUGAGCUAACCGGUACUAAUGAACCGUGAGGCUUAACCUUACAACGCCGAAG